rnacentral:rRNA from 1 species
UAAGGAAUAUUGGUCAAUGGACGCAAGUCUGAACCAGCCAUGCCGCGUGGAGGAUGAAGGUCCUCUGGAUUGUAAACUUCUUUUAUCUGGGACGAAACACUUCUUUUCUAAGAGGCCUGACGGUACCAGAUGAAUAAGCACCGGCUAACUCCGUGCCAGCAGCCGCGGUAAUACGGAGGGUGCAAGCGUUAUCCGGAUUCACUGGGUUUAAAGGGUGCGUAGGUGGGUAUGUAAGUCAGUGGUGAAAUCCCCGAGCUUAACUUGGGAACUGCCAUUGAUACUAUAUAUCUUGAAUACCGUAGAGGUAAGCGGAAUAUGUCAUGUAGCGGUGAAAUGCUUAGAUAUGACAUGUAACACCAAUUGCGGAGGCAGCUUACUAUGCGGUGAUUGACACUGAGGCACGAAAGCGUGGGUAGCAAACA